rnacentral:rRNA from 1 species
CCUAAACGACUGCGUCGCGGUAGCCCUAGGGCUUAAGNUUCGAUCUAUANAGUCUCAACAACCGGCCGUCNUUAUGUACAGCCUAACACAUGCAAGUCGAACGUGCAGCACAGGAGAGCUUGCUCUCUGGGUGUGCGAGUGGCGGACGGGUGAGGAAUACAUCGGAAUCUACUCUGUCGUGGGGGAUAACGUAGGGAAACUUACGCUAAUACCGCAUACGACCUACGGGUGAAAUGCAGGGGACCUUCGGGCCUUGCGCGAUUGAAUGAGCCGAUGUCGGAUUAGCUAGUUGGCGGGGUGAAGGCCCACCAAUGGCGACGAUCCGUAGCUGGUCUGAGAGGAUGAUCAGCCACACUGGAACUGAGACACGGUCCAGACUCCNUACGGGAGGCAGCAGUGGGGAAUAUACUCGGACAAAUGAGGCGCAAACNGAACCACUGAUCCAGCACAAUACACNAGAGCCNGUUUGUGACGGUUGGAANNACUCGGAAAAAUAGAGGGCACCACAUUUAANUUACCACAGAAAGGUAAGAAUUUAUCUAUGAGGAGUUUUCAAAAAAAAAAAAAUAGGGAACACAACAAUGACCNAUUUNAAUUAAANAUAAAUNAAGGAGUUUUCUUA